UCGGGAAUUUUGGGCAAUGGGCGAAAGCCUGACCCAGCAACGCCGCGUGAAGGAUGAAGUAUUUCGGUAUGUAAACUUCGAAAGAAUAGGAAGAAUAAAUGACGGUACUAUUUAUAAGGUCCGGCUAACUACGUGCCAGCAGCCGCGGUAAUACGUAGGGACCAAGCGUUGUUCGGAUUUACUGGGCGUAAAGGGCGCGUAGACGGCAAUUCAAGUCAUCUGUGAAAUCUCCGGGCUUAACUCGGAACGGUCAGAUGAUACUGCUUUGCUAGAGUGCAGAAGGGGCAAUCGGAAUUCUUGGUGUAGCGGUGAAAUGCGUAGAUAUCAAGAGGAACACCUGAGGUGAAGACGGGUUGCUGGGCUGACACUGACGCUGAGGCGCGAAAGCCAGGGGAGCAAACGGGAUUAGAUACCCUCGUAGUCCCUGAGCGGGCUGGCAAGGCGCAU
rnacentral:rRNA from 1 species